rnacentral:rRNA from 1 species
GAUGAACGCUGGCGGCGUGCCUAAUACAUGCAAGUCGAGCGAACGGACGAGAAGCUUGCUUCUCUGAUGUUAGCGGCGGACGGGUGAGUAACACGUGGAUAACCUACCUAUAAGACUGGGAUAACUUCGGGAAACCGUAGCUAAUACCGGAUAAUAUUUUGAACCGCAUGGUUCAAAAGUGAAGGACGGUCUAGCUGUCACUUAUAGAUGGAUCCGCGCUGCAUUAGCUAGUUGGUAAGCUAACGGCUUACCAAGGCAACGAUGCAUAGCCGACCUGAGAGGGUGAUCGGCCACACUGGAACUGAGACACGGUCCAGACUCCUACGGGAGGCAGCAGUAGGGAAUCUUCCGCAAUGGGCGAAAGCCUGACGGAGCAACGCCGCGUGAGUGAUGAAGGUCUUCGGAUCGUAAAACUCUGUUAUUAGGGAAGAACAUAUGUGUAAGUAACUGUGCACAUCUUGACGGUACCUAAUCAGAAAGCCACGGCUAACUACGUG